UCUGAGUCCGUUAAGACGUUUUUCAAAAUUUUGACUUUUUGACGAUGAAUAGUAAAAUACUGCUAUUUCGUCUUUUUGUCGACUUUCAAAAUCUUAUGUGCACGUCGUCGAGAAAUAUUCUUAGUUUUUCGAUACGAGUCCAAUAAUGAAAGUUUUUAUUUUUGGACGACGAGUGAAUAGUAAAUCAGGAUUUCUCGAUAAACGAAAUGAGCUCGUUUAUCAGAAUUUCGAGAACGAGCUUGCGUUUUCUUUAUUUAUAUAGAAUUACGAGUGCAAUGAAAGUGAGUAGAGGUUGAGAGGGCGAGUAACGAAGAGUAUGGGUAGUUAGUCGUUAAAACGAGACGAAACGAGAUAUUUAACGACUAACGGGUUAAUAUCCUAAAUAUCUAAACCUACCCUACCCCAAACCACCCCCCAACCAACCAAACCCACCCACUCACAUUUAUUACACGGCUAUAUCAGCCAACUCACACAACAACAAACACAUUCACACACACAACACCUAAAACACACACACACUUCACGCCAUUUUCAUUUUAGCUUGAGCUCAAGCUUUUGACUUCCGAUUUGAGCACCGAGACGAGCGCCGAUCAUCUUUUCGAUCACGUAUCUAAGUAGGUCCUGUUGGGAAGUAACGACUUGAGGGAGAGAGUGACGUUACUCAUUGAUACAGAGACACAACGAGGUUGAGCUGAUGUGAUGAUGGUGCUGCAAUGAGCGGAGUCUCCAGGGUUGUUAAUAAAUAGUUAACCUGUCUAGAAUAUGUCUUCAUACAUAUGUCUAGCUACUUUCCGCUGCAAGAUGUUGUUGAUGUUAUAGUAUGUUAUGUCAUACUUUGAGUCUUAAGAGAAUGGUUUCAUAUGAUGUAUAACUUGAUUAAUGAUAUUAAUUAAGUUUUAUGCUGUC